GGGGGCUUAGCUCAGAUGGGAGAGCGCCUGCUUUGCACGCCGGAGGUCAGCGGUUCGAUCCCGCUAGUCUCCACCA
rnacentral:tRNA from 1 species